rnacentral:rRNA from 1 species
GACGAACGCUGGCGGCGUGCUUAACACAUGCAAGUCGAACGAAGUGGCGAACGGGUGAGUAACGCGGAAUAAACCUGCCCUUCAGAGGGGGACAACAGUUGGAAACGACUGCUAAGACCGCAUACUGAAGGAGGGGAUGGCGUCUGAGUAGCUAGUUUGAGGGGUAACGGCCAACCAAGGCGAUGAUCAGUAGCCGGUCUGCUAGGAUGAACGGCCACAUUGGGACUGAGAAACUGCCCAGACUCCUACGGGAGGCAGCAGUGGGUACUCUUCCGCAAUGGACGAAAGUCUGACGAAGCAACGCCGCGUGAGUGAUGACGGCCUUCGGGUUGUGAAGCUCUGUUAAUCGGGACGCGGUACCGGAAUAGAAAGCCACGGCUAACUACGUGCCAGCAGCCGCGGUAAUUC